rnacentral:rRNA from 1 species
AUUGAACGCUGGCGGCAGGCUUAACACAUGCAAGUCGAGCGGAGAGAGGUAGCUUGCUACUGAUCUUAGCGGCGGACGGGUGAGUAAUGCUUAGGAAUCUGCCUAUUAGUGGGGGACAACAUUUCGAAAGGAAUGCUAAUACCGCAUACGUCCUACGGGAGAAAGCAGGGGAUCUUCGGACCUUGCGCUAAUAGAUGAGCCUAAGUCGGAUUAGCUAGUUGGUGGGGUAAAGGCCUACCAAGGCGACGAUCUGCAGCGGGUCUGAGAGGAUGAUCCGCCACACUGGGACUGAGACACGGCCCAGACUCCUACGGGAGGCAGCAGUGGGGAAUAUUGGACAAUGGGCGGAAGCCUGAUCCAGCCAUGCCGCGUGUGUGAAGAAGACCUUAUGGUUGUAAAGCACUUUAAGCGAGGAGGAGGCUACUUUAGUUAAUACCUAGAGAUAGUGGACGUUACUCGCAGAAUAAGCACCGGCUAACUCUGUGCCAGCAGCCGCCGUAA